UGAUUUUAUCUUCUAUUUUGAGUACUCUGGGUUUCUUUUGAUGUGGUUAUGAUUAUUUUUAUUUAGUUUAACUCUGUAGGUUUUCUCUGUUUGAUCUCUUGCUAUUUUAGGUGUUUUUUAUCUUUCUAUUUUAGGCUCAUUUGAUUGGAUAAUAGUAUUGGUUUGGUUACUCUUCUUUUUUCAGAUUUUCUUAUUUUUCGUUUUUUCUGUUGGUUGUUUUGUUUCUUUUCCAUCUCUCCCUCUACAAUUCUGU
rnacentral:lncRNA from 1 species